rnacentral:rRNA from 1 species
AUUGAACGCUGGCGGCAGGCCUAACACAUGCAAGUCGAGCGGAUGAAGGGAGCUUGCUCCUGGAUUCAGCGGCGGACGGGUGAGUAAUGCCUAGGAAUCUGCCUGGUAGUGGGGGAUAACGUCCGGAAACGGGCGCUAAUACCGCAUACGUCCUGAGGGAGAAAGUGGAGGAUCGUCGGACCUCACGCUAUCAGAUGAGCCUAGGUCGGAUUAGCUAGUUGGUGGGGUAAAGGCCUACCAAGGCGACGAUCCGUAACUGGUCUGAGAGGAUGAUCAGUCACACUGGAAGUGAGACACGGUCCAGACUCCUACGGGAGGCAGCAGUGGGGAAUAUUGGGCAAUGGGCGAAAGCCUGGUCCAGCCAGGCCGAGUGUGUGAAGAAGGUCUUCGGAUUGUAAAGAACUUUAAGUGGGGAGGAAGGGCUGUAAGUUGAUACCUUGCUGUUUUGACGUUACCAACAGAAUAAGCACCGGCUAACUACGUG